AGUUCUAAUUGAAUAUUGCCGAAGACAGUAGGCGCCGUACGGCUUAAUCCAAUGCCUACCGAGGUACACUACAAAUAUCCAUUACCGGAUUAUGGAUUUUUGGUUAUUAUGCCUCCUGCUGUCUGGCAGGAGGCUUUUUAUUUAGACUU
rfam:Actinobacteria bacterium CG2_30_50_142 cg2_3.0_scaffold_3507_c, whole genome shotgun sequence.